UCCGGCCGCGUCUGUGGCUUGGGGGCCUUCCCACGCUGUGUCCCAGCGGCGCGAUGGGGCCAGCUGCUGCGGGCCGCGCUUUUGACCGGGCUGGACGUCUGCCUGGGCACCUCGCGACACCAGGAAUUGGCGGCCCGCCUGCACAGGCGGUUCGGGUUCCGCGGCGCCACCCGCGGGUGCCGGUCACGGCAGAGCGAUAGCGGAGCAGGCUUGUGUUCCGGAGGCUAGAACCUCGAGAAUUCCGAGAACUCCCCAGCAGGGCAGCCGCCAUGACCCGGCCAGCCGGCGUGGACAUCACUAUUAUUUUUAUUAUGAACACCACCUUCAGAAAUUGGUUACCUGAAAUUGAUUGAAACCAUGAAAUUUUAACAAGCUGGCAUGCUGGGUAAUUCCCGGUGCUUACAGAAUAUACAAUAUUAAGUUGAAGUCAACUGAUUAGAACUUCGGAUUUGCUCAUUAAAAAACCAUAAAAUGUAAGCAAGACAGACUGGGCUUUCUUCAGCUGUUCCUGGAUGCCUAGUCAGCAGGAGACAGCUCACGGAAGAGCCCACCAGCCACACAGCACCAGCUCCCUGCCUUUGCCCACCUCAGAAUCCUGCUCCAUCAGAACAAAUGAGCAGACACCAGGGGAGCCCUCUAUCCCCAUCCCCAGACAUGUAGCUUGCAGUCUGAAAGGCCCCGGUCCUCUAGGCAGCCAGCUUCACACACAGGGCAACCCUCUCCCACCCUCUUUUGUUUGGGCUAAAGAAAACAAUAAACUUUUAAUACUCUGUA